UACGUAGGGGGCAAGCGUUGUCCGGAAUUAUUGGGCGUAAAGAGCGUGUAGGCGGUCCGGUAAGUCGGCUGUGAAAGUCCAGGGCUCAACCCUGGGAUGCCGGUCGAUACUGCCGGACUAGAGUUCGGAAGAGGCGAGUGGAAUUCCCGGUGUAGCGGUGAAAUGCGUAGAUAUCAGGAGGAACACCUGCGGUGUAGACGGCUUACUGGACCACUACUGACGCUGAGGCACGAAAGCGUGGGGAGCAAACAGG
rnacentral:rRNA from 1 species